CGAACGGGUGAGUAAUGCGUGACCAACCUGCCCCAUGCUCCAGAAUAGCUCUUGGAAACGGGUGGUAAUGCUGGAUGCUCCAACUUGACGCAUGUCUUGUUGGGAAAGUGUUUAGUGGCAUGGGAUGGGGUCGCGUCCUAUCAGCUUGUAGGCGGGGUAAUGGCCCACCUAGGCUUCGACGGGUAGCCAGCCUGAGAGGGCGGACGGCCACAUUGGGACUGAGAUACGGCCCAGACUCCUACGGGAGGCAGCAGGG
rnacentral:rRNA from 1 species